rnacentral:rRNA from 1 species
UACGUAGGGUGCGAGCGUUGUCCGGAAUUACUGGGCGUAAAGAGCUCGUAGGUGGUUUGUCGCGUUGUUCGUGAAAACCUGAGGCUUAACCUUGGGCGUGCGGGCGAUACGGGCAGACUGGAGUACUGCAGGGGAGACUGGAAUUCCUGGUGUAGAGGUGAAAUUCGUAGAUAUCGGGAGGAACACCAGUGGCGAAGGCGGCGAUCUGGGUCGAUACUGACGCUGAGGUGCGAAAGCGUGGGUAGCAAACAGG